CGGACGGGCGCACAGUGCAGAGGAUAAGGAUCCACUGACAUAGUGAGAACCUAUGAUGUCCGGGUGUCAGACUCUUCAGAGAAGAUGGAGCUGGAAGACGUCCUGACGUCUGGACCAGAUGAAGAAGAAAAGAAAAGACAACAGAGAAGACAUCACUCAGAUCCGUGUAUGCAGAGGAUUACGACGGAUUCAAUGGAUUACGACGGAUGAAUUUGAUUUUUUUAAUUUUAAUAAAAUGAUUAACGAGGACUGUGGGGAG